UACGUAGGGGGCGAGCGUUGUCCGGAUUUAUUGGGCGUAAAGAGCUCGUAGGCCGUUCGGUAAGUCAGAUGUGAAAACUCCAGGCUCAACUUGGAGAGGCCAUCUGAUACUGCCGUGACUUGAGUCCGGUAGGGGAGCACGGAAUUCCUGGUGUAGCGGUGAAAUGCGCAGAUAUCAGGAGGAACACCAGCGGCGAAGGCGGUGCUCUGGGCCGGUACUGACGCUGAGGAGCGAAAGCGUGGGGAGCGAACAGGAUUAGAAACCCGAGUAGU
rnacentral:rRNA from 1 species